UCGAGGGGCAGCACAUGAGUGGUAACACGAUGGUGGCGACCGGCGCACGGGUGAGUAACACGUAUGCAACCUACCCAUAACUGUGGGAUAACCCGUCGAAAGACGGCCUAAUACCGCAUGACAACUCUGAUCCGCAUGGUGAGGAGUUUAAAGAUUUAUCGGUUAUGGAUGGGCAUGCGUUCCAUUAGAUUGUUGGUGAGGUAACGGCUCACCAAGUCUUCGAUGGAUAGGGGUUCUGAGAGGAAGGUCCCCCACACUGGUACUGAGACACGGACCAGACUCCUACGGGAGGCAGCAGUGAGGAAUAUUGGUCAAUGGGCGAGAGCCUGAACCAGCCAAAUCGCGUGAAGGAUGAAGGUAUUAUGUAUUGUAAACUUCUUUUGUCAGGGAAUAAAGUGCGGCACGUGUGCCGUUUUGUAUGUACCUGAAGAAUAAGGAUCGGCUAACUCCGUGCCAGCAGCCGCGGUAAUACGGAGGAUCCAAGCGUUAUCCGGAUUUAUUGGGUUUAAAGGGUGCGUAGGCGGACCUUUAAGUCAGCGGUGAAAGUCCCCGGCUCAACCGGGGAAUUGCCGUUGAAACUAUUGGUCUUGAGUGUAGAUGAGGUGGGCGGAAUUCGUAGUGUAGCGGUGAAAUGCUUAGAUAUUACGAAGAACUCCAAUUGCGUAGGCAGCUCACUAGGCUACAACUGACGCUGAGGCACGAAGGUGCGGGGAUCAAACAGGAUUAGAUACCCUGGUAGUCCGCACAGUAAACGAUGAAUACUAACUGUUUGCGAUACACAGCAAGUGGUACAGUGAAAACGUUAAGUAUUCCACCUGGGGAGUACG
rnacentral:rRNA from 1 species